UACGAAGGGGGCUAGCGUUGUUCGGAAUUACUGGGCGUAAAGCGCGCGCAGGCGGCCUUCCAAGUCAGGGGUGAAAGCCCAGAGCUCAACUCUGGAAUUGCCUUUGAAACUGUUAGGCUUGAGUACGGGAGAGGUGAGUGGAAUUCCCAGUGUAGAGGUGAAAUUCGUAGAUAUUGGGAAGAACACCGGUGGCGAAGGCGGCUCACUGGCCCGUAACUGACGCUCAGGCGCGACAGCGUGGGGAGCAAACAGG
rnacentral:rRNA from 1 species